GGACACCGCCGCCAGCCCCCCCUUCGCCCCGCACGCUACGACCCCGGGACUAACUGGAGCCUGCGAGCUACCGCCCCCAUCCGCCUUCCCCUCCUCCAAUUAGCGGCCGGCAUCGCCUUAGCAACAGGCUAACAAACCCCACUGGGCCAAUGACUGAGUGAGCCCUGGGCGUGGUCUCUGUUACCAGGCUAGGCUGAGAGGUGCUGCCGGAGCUAAGUCAUUGAAACUCCCUUUCCAUUCAGCGCAGAGUGCACGGUAGCAGCAGUCGCUGGCUGUGCUGCUCCGGGAGCGGGUGCCUGAGCUGCUCCAAGCUCACAGUUUAAGUGAAUGCACAAAUCACCGGCGUUUACGCAACACACACUGCGCUUAUCUACAAGUGCUUCUCAUUUGCAAGCUUCAGACCUACUCCAUCUUCCGUCUCCUGCUUCCCAUCCAAAUAGAGAGACACUUGAAGUCCAAGCUGAAGAAGAAAGACAGUAAGGAGGGCAGUGAUACCUACAGCAUCUGAAGUCCCUUUCUGUUUGUCAUUUUGGAGGAGGAAAAGAAUAUGCAAGCAGUCAGAAACAAUACAUGGUUAGGGGGUGAGAAGAAAGAAAACUGAUCAAGGACCCCUGUGAAUUUAAAGCUACUACAAUAUUAAUCACUUCAUUCUUCAAUUCCUUCAUGCAAUCACUGGAACUGCAAAAGAAGAUUCCUCUUACUGAAAAGAAUCAGAGAAGUUCCUGGGGCAACAGAGGAUGGAGAUGGAAUAAACAAAUCAGCAUUUUCCAAUGGAAGACUAUUCUGUAGGAAAAGCUCUG